GGGCUGAAGGGCCUGAGCUAUAGGGAAGGGUUGCGCAGGCUGGGACUCUAUUCCUUGGAGCGCAGGAGGAUGACGGGUGAUCUUAUAGAGGUGUAUAAAAUCAUGAGAGGAAU